AAGGGAAGAACCUCAAUGGCCCACUGGGGUCCGUGUCAGCACACCUGGACUAGGUCAGAACAAUGGCCCCCACCAAUGCCUCAGUCUCCAGAGAGGUCUCUCCUCUCACCAAGAUGCCCCCAGAGCCCACCAGGGCUCUGCAAGGUAGCAAAUCAUUGUAGCACUGAGUCACAGAGACUGUAUUCUUGAAGUCCUGGCAGAGGCAAAUUUCUCAUUAACAUUGAUCUGAGAGACAUCUGCGAUGAGCCUGUACAACGAGCCGACCUGCCGAGCUGACCCGAAGCUGAUGAGUGGUUCCGAAGGGAGGCAGGCUGGGAAUGAAGACACCACAGUGAAAUGAGCCCAUCUCUGUUUUCAGAACAUGACUUCGUAACUCCAGACUUAUAUGUUGAAUUUCUUGAGGCUUAAAUGUAUAAGCUCUUCCACUAUAUCGUCCUCUACAAUUUGAAAGCAAUUCCAUACACAGAGAUACAAAGAAAGAAAAAAAGAAACAGGAAUGGAUUUCUUCUUCGUUCUCCUCUCUCCUAAGCAAUUCCAGUCCUAAAGAAGCAAAGAAAAGCA
rnacentral:lncRNA from 1 species